AACAGCUCAUUCGCACACAGUACCGCAGUACUUUAGUCUAAACGCCCAACCUCCGCUGCUUGGUGCUAAUGAUUCUAGUCUAAAGGAAUGUGAAGACUAUUUCUACCUACUUGAAAAGAUCUGGAGACUGUCCAACCCGACUGGAAGAUGGACAAGGAUGCGAGCAGGGGCUCAUUCUGAUUUGAAGGGCACCUGAAGGGUCGGUUAAGCUUGCUGAUUCGAAAGUCGAUCCUUAGUGACCACAGGCACUGCGACUGCACCAGCCAUGGCUGUGAUGGUGGCACUCCCCAUGGACCCCUCUACAAAGUGGGAUAGGAUCACUAGAAGGAAGCUGAUGAAACCCCUUCUCAACCUCUUUGUUUCCAAAAGCACACUCAUUCUGAAGAGUCAGUCCCACUCCCUCUCAGACAAGUGGCAUUCCUUUCUCCAGGAGUCUGGGAGUGAAAACCUGGAAAAACACCAGAGUGGCCUGCAACGUCCAAACUGGCUUCCCAACCCCUUGAGGUCCCCGAGCAUCGAGGAUGAGAGCUGGAACUGAUCCUGGCUGCAGGUAUGAGGGGGCACCAGCACACAGAGCAGCUGUUCACCUCUCUACUUUCUGUUCCUGGCCUCCCCAUGUCCUUAUUUGCACUAUCUUCAAUUACAAAGGAUGCUCUGUCUUCAAUUACAAACGACCCACGCAAAUGUCCCAUGACUAGAAUUUACCAUCUGAUAACUGUAUGGUCACCUUCCUUUCCUGGCAAAUAUAUAAAAUGUUAUUUCAAAAUGUCAGGAUCGGACAUGUUUGGAAGAAAACCCACACAAAGACUAGGCCACAAGAAUAUUUAGUCAAAAAUCAUAAUGCCCUCAGGGUAGGAGUGUAUUUAUUUCUCAAAUAAUCAUCCUGACUUCCAAUAUGUCAA